rnacentral:rRNA from 1 species
UACGAAGGGAGCUAGCGUUGUUCGGAAUCACUGGGCGUAAAGCGCACGUAGGCGGAUAUGUCAGUCAGGGGUGAAAUCCCGGAGCUCAACUUCGGAACUGCCCUUGAUACAGCAUGUCUCGAGUCCGAGAGAGGUGAGUGGAAUUCCUAGUGUAGAGGUGAAAUUCGUAGAUAUUAGGAAGAACACCGGUGGCGAAGGCGGCUCACUGGCUCGGUACUGACGCUGAGGUGCGAAAGCGUGGGGAGCAAACAGG